rnacentral:rRNA from 1 species
GACGAACGCUGGCGGCGUGCUUAACACAUGCAAGUCGAACGGAAAGGCCCUGCUUUUGUGGGGUGCUCGCGUGGCGAACGGGUGAGUAACAUGUGAGUAACCUGCCCUUGACUUUGGGAUAACUUCAGGAAACUGGGGCUAAUACCGGAUAGGAGCUCCUGCUGCAUGGUGGGGGUUGGAAAGUUUCGGCGGUUGGGGAUGGACUCGCGGCUUAUCAGCUUGUUGGUGGGGUAGUGGCUUACCAAGGCUUUGACGGGUAGCCGGCCUGGGAGGGUGACCGGCCACAUUGGGACUGAGAUACGGCCCAGACUCCUACGGGAGGCAGCGGUGGGGAAUAUUGCACAGUGGGCGGAAGCCUGAUGCAGCAACGCCGCGUGCGGGAUGACGGCCUUCGGGUUGUAAACCGCUUUCGCCUGUGACGAAGCGUGAGUGACGGUAAUGGGUAAAGAAGCACCGGCUAACUACGUG